rnacentral:rRNA from 1 species
GCGGCAGCGACGCUUAUGCGUUGUUGGGUAGGGGAGCGUUCUGUAAGCCUGUGAAGGUGUACUGUGAGGUAUGCUGGAGGUAUCAGAAGUGCGAAUGCUGACAUAAGUAACGAUAAAGCGGGUGAAAAGCCCGCUCGCCGGAAGACCAAGGGUUCCUGUCCAACGUUAAUCGGGGCAGGGUGAGUCGACCCCUAAGGCGAGGCCGAAAGGCGUAGUCGAUGGGAAACAGGUUAAUAUUCCUGUACUUGGUGUUACUGCGAAGGGGGGACGGAGAAGGCUAUGUUGGCCGGGCGACGGUUGUCCCGGUUUAAGCGUGUAGGCUGGUUUUCCAGGCAAAUCCGGAAAAUCAAGGCCGAGGCGUGAUGACGAGGCACUACGGUGCUGAAGCAACAAAUGCCCUGCUUCCAGGAAAAGCCUCUAAGCAUCAGGUAACAUCAAAUCGUACCCCAAACCGACACAGGUGGUCAGGUAGAGAAUACCAAGGCGCUUGAGAGAACUCGGGUGAAGGAACUAGGCAAAAUGGUGCCGUAACUUCGGGAGAAGGCACGCUGAUACGUAGGUGAAGCGACUUGCUCGUGGAGCUGAAAUCAGUCGAAGAUACCAGCUGGCUGCAACUGUUUAUUAAAAACACAGCACUGUGCAAACACGAAAGUGGACGUAUACGGUGUGACGCCUGCCCGGUGCCGGAAGGUUAAUUGAUGGGGUUAGCGCAAGCGAAGCUCUUGAUCGAAGCCCCGGUAAACGGCGGCCGUAACUAUAACGGUCCUAAGGUAGCGAAAUUCCUUGUCGGGUAAGUUCCGACCUGCACGAAUGGCGUAAUGAUGGCCAGGCUGUCUCCACCCGAGACUCAGUGAAAUUGAACUCGCUGUGAAGAUGCAGUGUACCCGCGGCAAGACGGAAAGACCCCGUGAACCUUUACUAUAGCUUGACACUGAACAUUGAGCCUUGAUGUGUAGGAUAGGUGGGAGGCUUUGAAGUGUGGACGCCAGUCUGCAUGGAGCCGACCUUGAAAUACCACCCUUUAAUGUUUGAUGUUCUAACGUGGACCCGUGAUCCGGGUUGCGGACAGUGUCUGGUGGGUAGUUUGACUGGGGCGGUCUCCUCCUAAAGAGUAACGGAGGAGCACGAAGGUUGGCUAAUCCUGGUCGGACAUCAGGAGGUUAGUGCAAUGGCAUAAGCCAGCUUGACUGCGAGCGUGACGGCGCGAGCAGGUGCGAAAGCAGGUCAUAGUGAUCCGGUGGUUCUGAAUGGAAGGGCCAUCGCUCAACGGAUAAAAGGUACUCCGGGGAUAACAGGCUGAUACCGCCCAAGAGUUCAUAUCGACGGCGGUGUUUGGCACCUCGAUGUCGGCUCAUCACAUCCUGGGGCUGAAGUAGGUCCCAAGGGUAUGGCUGUUCGCCAUUUAAAGUGGUACGCGAGCUGGGUUUAGAACGUCGUGAGACAGUUCGGUCCCUAUCUGCCGUGGGCGCUGGAGAACUGAGGGGGGCUGCUCCUAGUACGAGAGGACCGGAGUGGACGCAUCACUGGUGUUCGGGUUGUCAUGCCAAUGGCACUGCCCGGUAGCUAAAUGCGGAAGAGAUAAGUGCUGAAAGCAUCUAAGCACGAAACUUGCCCCGAGAUGAGUUCUCCCUGACCCUUUAAGGGUCCUGAAGGAACGUUGAAGACGACGACGUUGAUAGGCCGGGUGUGUAAGCGCAGCGAUGCGUUGAGCUAACCGGUACUAAUGAACCGUGAGGCUUAACCUUACAACGCCGAAG